GCUGACCAGUGGUCUCUGGGGAGGAAUGCUUGGGAACUUGCCUUUGCGAGGGGUAAAAAAGUUGGAAACGACUGCUAAUACCGCAUAAUGUCUUCGGACCAAACGGGGCUUAGGCUCCGGCGCAAAGAGAGGCCCAAGUGAGAUUAGCUAGUUGGUAAGGUAAAGGCUUACCACGGCCACGAUCUCUAGCUGUUCUGAGAGGAAGAUCAGCCACACUGGGACUGAGACGCGGUCCAGACUCCUACGGCAGGCAGCGGUGGGGAAUAUUGCACAAUGGGGGAAACCCUGAUGCAGCCAUGCCGCGUGUGUGAAGAAGGCCUUCGGGUUGUAAAGCACUUUCAGUUGUGAGGAUAAGUUAGUAGUUAAUACCUGCUAGCCGUGACGUUAACAACAGAAGAAGCACCGGCUAACUCCGUGCCAGCAGCCGCGGUAAUACGGAGGGUGCGAGCGUUAAUCGGAAUUACUGAACGUAAAGCGCACGCAGGCCGUUUGUGAAGCUACAUGUGAAAGCCCCUGGCUCAACCUGUUACGGUCAUUUACAACUGGCAGACUAGAGUCUUGGAGAGGGGAGUGGAACUCCAGGUGUAGCGAUGAAAUGC
rnacentral:rRNA from 1 species